GCAUCCGUAGCUCCUGGAUAGAGUACUCGGCUACGAACCGAGCGGUCGGAGGUUCGAAUCCUCCCGGAUGCACCA
rnacentral:tRNA from 1 species